CAGCCACCCAAACAGCCACUUUCCUUAACUCUUAAAUAUUUGAAAACAACAAAGUCCCUUCAGAUUUCUUUUUUGCUUCUUGGAAAACCACUAUGUGUCUGCUCUUGUUCAUACCGAUUCGUCUAAAACAAGAAAAAUAAUCUUCAAAUAGCUCUUAACAUGUAAGCACCUAUUACUGACCUUUAAAUUCCUUUUGUUUGCAGCUUUUGAAAUCACUGAUAAGGCGCCCCCUUCUAUCUCCACCAUCGUAAGUUCGACAUGCAGUUCCAUCUCAGUCGCCUGUGAACAUGCCAAUGCCUCAACCGCAAACGGUGAGGUAGCUAGUUUCCUCCCAGUCCAUAUAGCCCAAAAAAGCACAACCAAAGAUUCUCCAAAGACAAUCCCGAAACAAAUGUUCCGCUAUUUUGAUACCAGUCGCACAUCUAAAGCAUUCUGGGGUUCCCAUUAAUCUCCUGUAAUAGGCAGAAAGUUUUUUUGUAAUUCUCCAUACUAUAAUUUUUAUUUUGGUGGGCAGAUCCAAUAUCUAUAACUUUUUGUAAAGUGUUGAAUGGGAAUGAUGAGUCCCAUUUGUGUUUGCCUCAUGAUUUUCUUGUAACAGUCUGUAAGCACUAAGCAUUGUAUACUCCCUCAACCCCUCACCUCCGCAAGCUAGGAAACCUUCAUGUGGAAACUGUCUCAAAGGAAUACUUAAAAUUCAUUGGGCCUCCAUCUCGUCAAAGGUUGAUCGAAUAAUUCCUUCUCUCCCUUUCCCCAUAGCUGGAUCAAUCAAAUCGGCCACAGUUUGUAUAUCUUGAUUGG